rnacentral:rRNA from 1 species
AUUGAACGCUGGCGGCAUGCCUUACACAUGCAAGUCGAACGGCAGCACGGGAGCAAUCCUGGUGGCGAGUGGCGAACGGGUGAGUAAUAUAUCGGAACGUGCCCAGUCGUGGGGGAUAACGCAGCGAAAGCUGUGCUAAUACCGCAUACGAUCUAUGGAUGAAAGCGGGGGAUCGCAAGACCUCGCGCGAUUGGAGCGGCCGAUAUCAGAUUAGCUAGUUGGUGAGGUAAAGGCCCACCAAGGCGACGAUCUGUAGCUGGUCUGAGAGGACGACCAGCCACACUGGAACUGAGACACGGUCCAGACUCCUACGGGAGGCAGCAGUGGGGAAUUUUUGGACAAUGGGCGCAAGCCUGAUCCAGCAAUGCCGCGUGCAGGAUGAAGGCC